rnacentral:rRNA from 1 species
AUUGAACGCUGGCGGCAUGCCUAACACAUGCAAGUCGAGCGCGCCGCGCACGUGUGUGUCAUGUCUGGGACACUGCUUGAUGGCGGGGGAUAACUCCUGGAACCGGUAGCUAAUCCCGCAUACCUUCAUAUGUUCCCUGAUGGGAUUCGCUAGUAGGUGGGGUAAUGGCUCACCUAGGCCACGAUCCCUAGCUGGUCUGAGAGGAUGACCAGCCACACUGGAACUGAGACACGGUCCAGACUCCUACGGGAGGCAGCAGUGGGGAAUAUUGCACAAUGGGCGAAAGCCUGACGCAGCAAUGCCGCGUGUGUGAAGAAGGCCUUCGGGUUGUAAAGCACUUUCAGCAGGGAGGCGUUACUCAAAGAAGAAGCACCGGCUAACUCCGUGCCAGCAGCCGCGGUAAUAC